rnacentral:rRNA from 1 species
AUUGAACGCUGGCGGCAUGCCUUACACAUGCAAGUCGAACGGCAGCGCGGGGCAACCUGGCGGCGAGUGGCGAACGGGUGAGUAAUAUAUCGGAACGUGCCCUGGAGUGGGGGAUAACGCAGCGAAAGUUGCGCUAAUACCGCAUACGAUCUAAGGAUGAAAGUGGGGGCUUCGCAAGAACCUCAUGCCCCUGGAGCGGCCGAUAUCUGAUUAGCUAGUUGGUGGGGUAAAGGCCUACCAAGGCAUCGAUCAGUAGCUGGUCUGAGAGGACGACCAGCCACACUGGAACUGAGACACGGUCCAGACUC